CGGAGGGCGGGCCGCGGGGGGCGGCCGAGCAGACGGCGGCGGGGUCGUGUACAGCGGGACCCCGUGGAAACGGAGGAACUACAACCAGGGAGUCGUGGGUCUGCAUGAAGAAAUCAGUGAUUUUUAUGAAUACAUGUCUCCAAGACCUGAGGAGGAGAAGAUGCGGAUGGAGGUGGUGAACAGGAUCGAGAGUGUAAUUAAGGAGCUCUGGCCCAGCGCUGACGUCCAGAUAUUUGGAAGUUUUAAAACUGGACUUUAUUUACCUACUAGUGACAUCGACCUAGUGGUGUUUGGGAAGUGGGAGAACCUACCCCUCUGGACUCUGGAAGAAGCUCUUCGGAAACACAAAGUCGCAGAUGAGGAUUCGGUGAAAGUUUUAGACAAAGCAACUGUACCUAUUAUUAAAUUAACAGAUUCUUUUACUGAAGUGAAAGUUGAUAUCAGCUUUAAUGUACAGAAUGGCGUGAGAGCAGCUGACCUCAUCAAAGAUUUUACCAAGAAAUAUCCUGUAUUGCCAUACUUGGUUUUAGUAUUGAAACAAUUCCUAUUGCAGAGGGACCUUAAUGAAGUAUUUACAGGUGGAAUUGGUUCUUAUAGUCUCUUUUUAAUGGCAGUCAGUUUCCUUCAGUUACAUCCCAGGGAAGAUGCUUGCAUCCCCAAUACAAACUAUGGUGUUCUCUUAAUAGAAUUUUUUGAAUUAUAUGGACGACACUUCAAUUAUUUAAAGACUGGCAUCCGGAUAAAGGAUGGUGGUUCAUAUGUGGCCAAAGAUGAAGUACAGAAAAAUAUGCUAGAUGGCUACAGGCCAUCAAUGCUUUAUAUCGAAGAUCCUUUACAACCAGGUAUUGAAAUUAGGUAACGAUGUUGGAAGGAGUUCAUAUGGGGCCAUGCAAGUGAAGCAGGCCUUUGAUUAUGCCUACGUUGUUUUGAGUCAUGCUGUAUCACCAAUAGCAAAGUACUAUCCCAACAAUGAAACAGAAAGCAUACUAGGUAGAAUAAUUAGAGUAACAGAUGAAGUUGCCACAUAUAGAGAUUGGAUAUCAAAGCAGUGGGGCUUGAAGAAUAGACCUGAGCCUUCAUGCAAUGGAAAUGGUGUUACCUUGAUAGUAGAUACUCAGCAGUUAGAUAAAUGUAAUAAUAAUCUAUCUGAAGAAAAUGAAGCCCUUGGAAAAUGUAGAAGUAAAACCUCGGAAUCUCUUAGUAAACACUCUUCAAACUCUUCAUCAGGUCCAGUGUCGUCCUCUUCUGCCACACAGUCCAGCUCUAGUGAUGUAGAUUCCGAUGCAACACCAUGCAAAACCCCGAAACAGCUGCUUUGCCGUCCGUCCACUGGGAACCGAGUAGGGUCGCAAGAUGUAUCCUUGGAGUCCUCUCAGGCAGUUGGGAAAAUGCAAAGCACCCAAACCACUAACACAUCCAACAGCACCAACAAAUCUCAGCAUGGAUCAGCAAGGCUCUUUCGUUCUUCCAGCAAAGGCUUCCAAGCAUUGUCUUCAGUGUUAAGAAAUGUGGACUCCUGUGAGGUGCUGGAGGUUUGAAUCAUCUUGAAAACUUUCCAAUCUUGUCUAGUUACCACUGCAGAGGCACUAAGGAAUUUACCAGAAAAAGAUAUUUGAUACAAGUGAUUUAAGAAAUCUCAACAUUUCCUGAGGCCGUAUCACUGGGCAGCCAGUGAUGAAAACUAUGAAUGAAUUGCACACCUGGAAGAUUUUUUAAGCUAAUGACAGUUUCUUCAAAGAUGUCAAUUAUUUGCCUUGGAAAUUUUAUAAAUUGCAUUUCUAUGCACAUCGGCCUCUAGUGCUUACCACUCGGUUUAUUAUUCAUAAUCUGCAAUUCAAUAAAGGCUUUGUGUUUUCAUUUAUCUUC
rnacentral:sRNA from 1 species